rnacentral:rRNA from 1 species
CACGUAGGGGGCAAGCGUUGUCCGGAAUUAUUGGGCGUAAAGAGCUCGUAGGCGGCUCGGUAAGUCAGGUGUCAAAUCCUCAGGCUCAACCUGGGGCUCCACCUGAUACUGCUGUGGCUAGAGUCCGGUAGGGGAGCGUGGAAUUCCUGGUGUAGCGGUGAAAUGCGCAGAUAUCAGGAGGAACACCGGUGGUGUAGACGGCUUGCUAGACCACCCCUGACGCUGAGGCACGAAAGCGUGGGUAGCAAACAGG